GGGGGGGAGAUGGCGGCCAUUUUGAUCGGAGCCCGUGAGGGGCCGUGAGGGGCGGCCGUGGAGGCGCGGCGGCUGCGGGUGCCGGAGCUGCGGGACGAGCUGGGCCGCCGCCGCCUGGACGCCCGUGGGCUCAAGGCCGGGCUGGACGUGCGGCUGCAAGAGGCGAUGGACAGCGAAGGGACUCGGCGGGGGGACGCGGCGGGCGCCGGGGGCCGGUACGGCCUCGACAACCACAGCCACGAGCCCCAGGGUGGCUACCAGGAACCCCAGGGUGGCUACCAGGGCCACCAAGGCCACCACCAGGAACCCCAGGGUGGCUACCAGGGCCACCACCAGCAAUUCCAGGGCCACCAAGGCCACCACCAGGAGUUCCAGGGCCACCAAAGCCACCAACCCUACGAGGGUCACGAGGCUGAGCCCCCUGGGCUGCCCUCAGCGCUGACCUCCAAGCCGGACGAGCUCCCCCCAGCCCCCCCCCCAAAUUACCCCCCGCCCCCUCCCCACGCCCCCCGCCCCUCCCCCCCCCCUCCGGGGGCUACGGAGCCCCUCCCCCAAAUUACAGCGCCCCCCCACCCAAAUUACAGCGCCCCCCACCCAAACUACCACACCCCUCCCCCUAAUUACAACGCCCCUCCCCCUAAUUACAGCCCCCCCUCAUUACAGCGGCCCCCCUCAUUACAACGCCCCUCCCCCUCCUAAUUACAACACCCCUCCCCCUCAUUACAACGCCCCUCCCCCAAAUUUUAAUGCCCCUCCCCCUCAUUACAACGCCCCUCCCCCAAAUUUUAACGCUCCUCCCCCUCAUUACAGCGCCCCUCCCCCCUCUCAAUACAACCCCCCCCCCCCUCAUUACAGCCCCCCCCCCUCAUUACGGCGCCCCCCCCAAUUACCCCGCGCCCCCGCCUUUACCGCCCCCUCCCCUUAUUCCGGCCCCCCCCGCGGGGGGGGCGGGGGCGCUUUUGGGGGGGGUCCCGACCCCGACCCCUCCCCCCCCAACCGGAAGCGUCCAUUCGAGGAGCGGGGGAGGGGCUGCCAGGAGCACCACCGGGAGAAAAGGCCCCGCUCCCCGCAGCCGCCGGCCGAGGAGGAGGACGCGACGACGACUUCGACGAUUCCCUGGUGGCUGUGGACACCUACAACUGCGACCUGCACUUCAAGGUGGCACGGGACAGGUACAGCGGGUACCCGCUGACCAUGGAGGGAUUCGCCUACCUGUGGUCAGGGGCCAGGGCCACCCACGGCGCGAGGCAGGGCCGGGUCUGCUACGAGAUGGAGGUGCUGGAGGAGAUCUCGGUGCAGCACCUGCCGCCCUCAGAGCCCGACCCGCACGUGGUGAGAGUGGGAUGGUCCCUGGACUCCUGCAGCACCCAGCUGGGGGAGGAGCCCUUCUCCUUCGGCUAGGGCGGCACCGGCCGCAAAUCCAGCGACGGAAAGUUCCAGAGCUACGGAGCCGCCUUCGGCCAGGGCGACGUCAUCGCCUGCCUGGCGGAUUUCGAGGCGGGAGAGGAGGUGGAGCUGUCGUUCCUGAAGAACGGGCAGUGGCAGGGGCCUGCCCUUGGGGUGUUCUCACAUGUGCCGUUUCUCCCUUUUGCGCUGUUUUCCGCAGUUUUUGCGUUUUUCCCGUUUUUCAACGUUUUUCCGUUUCAAAACCGUUU
rnacentral:lncRNA from 14 species